CUUUAAGGAAUAAGUUCCAGUAUUACAGUGCCACUUCUUAUAAGCGUACGUGAGUCUGAGGACUACAGACGUGUUUCCAGUUCAGAGGCAAACAUCCCAGGAGUUGUUGGCACCCC
rnacentral:lncRNA from 1 species